GCGGUCCGUACACAUGUGUUACCAUGGUGUAACUAAGGAAUACACGGAUUGAUCACCAUUUACUAACAAUUCAUGAUGUAUGGUUUCAUGCACUUAGCAUUGGCAGACUGGGUGACGUCAGAACAUGGCGAGAAGGUCUGGCAGGAAAUCAUGCGUCUGUCCGGUAUAGAUUUGGGCGGUGGGUCGUUCCUCGGCAACAAGAUAUACGAAGAAGAGGAGUCGUCAAAACUGCUGGAUACCACCUCUUCAGUA